UACGUAGGUGGCAAGCGUUGUCCGGAUUUACUGGGCGUAAAGAGCGCGCAGGCGGUCGUUCAAGUCGAGUGUGAAAGCCCCCGGCUCAACUGGGGAGGGUCACUCGAUACUGAUCGACUCGAAGGCAGGAGAGGGAAGCGGAAUUCCCGGUGUAGUGGUGAAAUGCGUAGAUAUCGGGAGGAACACCAGUGGCGAAGGCGACUUCCUGGCCUGUUCUUGACGCUGAGGCGCGAAAGCUAGGGGAGCAAACGGG
rnacentral:rRNA from 1 species